CUUAUCUGAUCUCCUGGGAUCUCUAAGAUGCUGGCAGCCUGGCCAGCUGGUCUGGCCCUGGACAUGCCUUCAGGGGCUGGUUAUGCUUCAUAACCUGUGUUGCGGUCAGUGGUAAGCAGCAUCUGCUUCUAGCUUCACUGUUGGGCCAGAUUUCAUCCCCACCACAGCUCUGCAGUGCGGCUACUUCCUGUUCCCUCCAUGGACCCUGCGUGGAAUUGCCCCAUGUUUCUGUUUGGGCACCACUGAGGAAGGAAGCAUGAAGGAUGCACGGAUCCUGGUCAGAGUAAAACAUUCCAUGGGAACUCGGGCUGUGAGAACCAUCUUAACCAACUGACUGCAAAAACAUCCUUAUCACAUCCUGCUGGGCAAAGGCCCAACAGCCUGACUGCAGGAACAUCCUUAUCAUCUUCUACUGCGCAGCAAGCUGUACUGCCCAGAGCCCUCCCUCCCAGCCCCAUGAUUACCCCAGCCUGUGAGCGGCAGUGGGCGCUGACACUAAGCUGGUUUCCCCCUCCGCAGGGUUUUGCUAGUAGUAAGC
rnacentral:lncRNA from 1 species